rnacentral:sRNA from 1 species
AUCCGCCCUGGCUCCGCUGCACGAGCUCCACGCCCGUACCCUGGCGUGACGCUCAGCCCGUGGUGCUCGCACACCUGAGACUCAUCUCGCUUCGACCCCGCCGCCGCCCGGCAUCCUGAGCACGGAGACAGUCUCCAGCUGCCGUUCAUGCUUCCUCCCCAGCCUUCCGCAGCCCACCAGGGAAGGGGCGGUAGGAGUGGCCUUUUACCAAAGGGGUGGCAGGACCCGCUCCCCCAGCCCAGCUGCUGGCCUAUGAGAGUAGGGAGUUUGAUGACAUCCUCCAGUGGGACUUCACUGAGGACUUCUUCAACCUGACGCUCAAGGAGCUGCACCUGCAGCGCUGGGUGGUGGCUGCCUGCCCCCAGGCCCAUUUCAUGCUAAAGGGAGAUGACGAUGUCUUUGUCCACGUCCCCAACGUGUUAGAGUUCCUGGAUGGCUGGGACCCGGCCCAGGACCUCCUGGUGGGAGAUGUCAUCCGCCAAGCCCUGCCCAACAGGAACACUAAGGUCAAAUACUUCAUCCCACCCUCAAUGUACAAAGCCACCC